rnacentral:rRNA from 1 species
AACGAACGCUGGCGGCAUGCCUAACACAUGCAAGUCGAACGAAGCCUUCGGGCUUAGUGGCGCACGGGUGCGUAACGCGUGGGAAUCUGCCCCUUGCUUCGGAAUAACAGUUAGAAAUGACUGCUAAUACCGGAUGAAGUCUUCGGACCAAAGAUUUAUCGGCAAGGGAUGAGCCCGCGUAGGAUUAGGUAGUUGGUGGGGUAAAGGCCUACCAAGCCGACGAUCCUUAGUUGGUCUGAGAGGAUGAUCAGCCACACUGGGACUGAGACACGGCCCAGACUCCUACGGGAGGCAGCAGUGGGGAAUAUUGGACAAUGGACGCAAGUCUGAUCCAGCAAUGCCGCGUGAGUGAUGAAGGCCUUAGGGUUGUAAAGCUCUUUUACCAGGGAUGAUAAUGACAGUACCUGGAGAAUAAGCUCCGGCUAACUCCGUG